CCAAACACAUGAAAGAAAUUACAGUACAUCACACAUCAAACAUUUUGGCCUGGUGCUUCCUUCCUCUAAUCCUACUGGCAGGAAAUGCUCUACAUAUCCUUUGAGGUGACCAGACACAUUUAAAAGUAGUCCCUGGUUAAAAAAGCUCUUUGGCUACUGCAGUUUUAUCCAAAGAGGAGAGCGCCUUCUGCUCAGCACUGCUCCCUUCACUUCCACUUGAAGCACCUCAAAGGAGCUCCGCUGAUGAGAAAAAUCAUUGAAUGGAAAUGAAGAAUACUUUUUCCCUGUUCCUUCCUGUGAAACCUGUCUGGAUGGAACUUCCGGAAUCAUUCUUUCCUCGUAUCAUAAUUUUCAGAAGAUGUACAGACUUAAUGCCGAUGAAAUUGCUGCAAGAUUGAAGAUAAGAAAAUAAACUUACUGGUAAAUAUCUUUCCUGAGGACAGUUCUGCCAAGGGGAUUGUCA